UAGAAGAAUGAUGUAUUGCACACUGUGGAGUCACAGUACUGAAGGAUGCAGACAUCUUCAGUAUUGCCUUAAUUUUUUAAAAAAAAGUACACAGGGGCCAGCCACUUAGUC